rnacentral:rRNA from 1 species
CAGCCGCCGCGGGAAUACGAGGGGGGCAAGCGUUGUUCGGAAUUAUUGGGCGUAAAGGGUGCGUAGGCGGUUUGGCAAGUUUGGUGUGAAAUCUUCGGGCUCAACUCGAAGUCUGCAUCGAAAACUGCCGGGCUUGAGUAUGGGAGAGGUGAGUGGAAUUUCCGGUGUAGCGGUGAAAUGCGUAGAUAUCGGAAGGAACACCUGUGGCGAAAGCGGCUCACUGGACCAUAACUGACGCUGAUGCACGAAAGCUAGGGGAGCAAACAGGAUUAGAUACCCGGUAGUCCCUGUCUCUUAUACA